rnacentral:rRNA from 1 species
AUGCGUAAUCAGGUCGGCAUGGACCUGGACGACUUCCCACUUGACCACGAGUUUCUGGAUGACUACGGGCAAGAGGAAGAAGACGAGUGCGACAUCGAAGUGGAUCCUUUGUUUGAGGACGAGCUCGCUAACCAAGCCGUUGGGCCGAAGCCAAAGCGCAAGAGCAAGCGCACAAAGGGAUACAUGGCGGCCAAGGAGAAGCUUCUUUGCGAGUGUUGGAGAGACAUUGGACAAGACCCCAAGACCGGCGCCGAACAAAAGCAUUCAACUUUUUGGAUUCAUGUCCACCGGAAGUUUCAUGAGCGCAAGAAGUUUCUUCCUUACCAAAUUGUGAGCACCCGUGGGUGGGUGUCCAUUUCAAAGCGAUGGAGAGUGAUCCAACAAGAGUGCAACAAGUUUUGUGCCACUCUUGAGAGCGUCAAGGCCCGCCCCGUGAGCGGCAUCAGCAUGCAAGACAUGGUAUAA